CCUACGGGAGACAGCAGUGGGGAAUAUUGGGCAAUGGGCGCAAGCCUGACCCAGCAAUUCCGCGUGAAGGAAGAAGGCUUUCGGGUUGUAAACUUCUUUGACAGGGGAAGAGCAGAAGACGGUACCCUGAAAACAAGCCACGGCUAACUACGUGCCAGCAGCCGCGGUAAUACGUAGGUGGCAAGCGUGGUCCGGAGUUACUGGGUGUAAAGGGCGUGUAGCCGGGAAGGCAAGUCAGAUGUGAAAUCUGGAGGCUCAACCUCCAAAUUGCAUUUGAAACUGUUUUUCUUGAGUACUGGAGAGGCAGACGGAAUUCCUUGUGUAGCGGUGAAAUGCGUAGAUAUAAGGAGGAACACCAGUGGCGAAGGCGGUCUGCUGGACAGCAACUGACGGUGAGGCGCGAAAGCGUGGGGAGCAAACAGGAUUAGAUACCCUAGUAGUC
rnacentral:rRNA from 1 species